GAGAUUUAUGGAGAAUGAUGGAAUUCAGCUGUAAAGUUAGUCUGAAAAAAAAAAAUGGUUUGCUCCCUUGGAGAAAAAUAGUUUGAGAAGAGAUUUAGCAGAGAUGUAGAAGAUCAGAACUAAUUUGGAUAGAAGCUGUUCCCAUUCAUGGAUGGCUUAUAACCCAAUGGAUAUGUAGAACAAAUGAAGACAGUUGUUUUAACAGAGGGAUGAACUCUAGAUCUGCUUGCCUGCAAGGAGGUGAAAUCAAAGUUCAAGGCAUCACCUUUUGAAGAUGUCCUGGAUUCUGUGGAGGUUGUGCCCAUGAUGGAGCUGGACGAGUUUGCAACUUUCUGCAGCCUGGAGACCCUGUGGUCCUUCCUCCUGGCACUCUUUACCAUUGAAACUAUUGGCAGUUUUUAAAAAAAGCCAUAAGGGUGGAAAAGGUUAAGUUUAAAGACAGGCACAAAACAAAGCAUGGAACUCGUUCAAAAAAGCACAUCAAUUUCCCCUCCUAUGUGCGAAUAAAGAACAAAUCAACAAAAAACAAGUGAAAAACAUAGAAUAUAAAACUCCAAACCACAAAGUCAUCAGAACAGUCCAGGAAUGUUCAGUUCAACUCAGCGUAUAAUGUUCAUUAACUGCAGGCCGCAGAGCCCGUCCACUCCGAGCAAAACCGUACAAAAUAUCAACAGAAGAGGACUGAGCAGAAACCGGAAACACAUCAUAACAUAAACCACAGAGUCUAAUCCACAAACCACAGUGAUUAAACUUUGCCCAAAAACCAAGACUCUGGCACCAUCUUCCAGCAGCUUCGAGCGAGAGGGACUGUUUCACCGCAGGCACCCUCCUCCCACAGCAACGAGUAUGAGGGAGGGAGACAGACAGGUCAGAUGGUGCUGAGAGUGCGCUUGCCUUCUGCUCUUGUCCUCACUGAUUUCAAUCUUCCUCAGUGAGAUCGGCAGUAAAUGGAGUCGAUUGUGGGCUUACGCCCCACCUCCACACACUUCGCUCGAAACCUCACUGAACUCCCUUGGAGCAAUUUGACUGAAAACACACCAUCAAAGUGAAGAUCACAGGCUCCAAUCAUACCAAUAACAUAUUUGAAAGAAGAAGAAGUAAAAGAAGUGAACUAAGUAGUUUUGUGAACUGUCUGACGGACAUCAUCUUUGGUCACAGUGUUUGCUGGCACUAUCUUCAGCAGUAUUAAAAAUUGCCAUGCCGUUGGUGAGGGGAAAGGGGACCUUCAGGCAACAAAGAAUCCUUGCAUUGCUCGGGUUACUUCAGUGACUGAAUUUGGUCUCAGCUGAGUUUCUGACUGGCUGGGAGUGUGAAUCAUAGGUUUUAGUUUCAAAGAUCAGACUGUUCUGUCUCUUACUUUUCACAUUAAUCUUGAAGUAAAAUACUCCCAUAGACAGAUGCAAGAUAAUUUUGGGCUUUUCACCGACCACAGUCAACUGUUUAACUGGGAUUCCAGAUGUGUGCGUGCCGCAAACCAGGCUCUGUGCAAGGCUGGAAAUUCUGCCCUCAGAUGGACACUUUAAAUGAUGUUAUGCAUGGACCCCGUGCUUUCUCACUUCAGUCCCACUGGCUAACUUCCCAUUAAUGUAUACGGAUAUUUUGUAGUCAUAUAGUCAUCAAGAUACAGAGCACUUUGGCCCAUCUGUACUGUGCUGAACUAUCACUGCCCAUCAAUGAUCUAGAGAGAAUUCUAUAAAAAUCCAGUAGUUUUUUAGUUAUUAUCACAUACUUAAUGCUUUCAGAACAGCUUCUUCCAAUUCUUCCCCUCCACCGUCAGAUUUCUGAACAGCCAAUGAACCUAUCAGCACUUCCUCACUAUUGUUACUCUGUUUUUGCAUGAUUCAUUUAAUUAUACAUCUGUACAUAUAUUUCUUAC